rnacentral:rRNA from 1 species
AUUGAACGCUGGCGGCAGGCCUAACACAUGCAAGUCGAGCGGAGCGGCGGACGGGUGAGUAAUGCCUAGGAAUCUGCCUGGUAGUGGGGGAUAACGUCCGGAACCGGGCGCUAAUCUCACAUACUCUCAGAUGAGCCUAGGGCGGAUUAGAUAGGUGGUGGGGUAAAGGCCUACCAAGGCGACGAUCCGGAACUGGUCUGAGAGGCUGAUCAGUCACACUGGAACGGAGACACGUCCCAGAUUCCGACGGGAGGCAGCAGUGGGGAAUAUUGGACAAUGGGGGAAAGCUUGAUCCAGCCAUGCCGCGUGUGUGAAGAAGGUCUUCGGAUUGUAAAGCACUUUAAGUUGGGAGGCGUUACCGACAGAAUAAGCACCGGCUAACUUCGUGCCAGCAGCCGCGGUAAUAC